rnacentral:sRNA from 1 species
UACAUAGUUGGCAAACAAGCAAUAGGA